rnacentral:lncRNA from 1 species
UUAAAAACAAAAGCUAGUUUUAAAGUCUUUUUUUUUGUUAAAAAAACUUUAACUUUAAUUUCUUUUUUCUAAAAAACCCUAAGCUCUUUCUUCUCCCCACUGUCCUCUUUCUUCCAGCCGCAAACAAGGCCAACACCAAGCCUUCAUUCGCCUCCGUGACGACCAACAGAGGGCUGGAGAACCCCUCUUGUGAAGCGAAUCGAGAGGUACUCACCCUUUCCCCUUUUAUUUCGUAUUUUCGGAUUUGAAUGGAAAUAAAAAUCAAGGAAAAGAACGGGAAAAGAAAAUGAUAAAAUAACCACCUUAGGAAUAUUUUCUUGGCUGCUCUUUACUCUCUUUUUUGGUAUCUUUUGUAUUUCAAAAAAAAAGAAAAAAAACCCCUUUACCAUUAAAAAUCAAAGGCUUUAUAGCCAAAAUACAAGCAAUUUCUGCUGCUUCCUUGUCCAACUUACAGGCCGUGAAGUUGUGGAGAACGAGGGGCAUGGAGUAUGGGCGCAAACAUGGAGCGAGGCACACGGGGAUCGUGCGUGGAGUGCCGACGUGGGGGUUGCGGCGUGGGGCUGCUGUGCAAAAGGGGAACUUAGGGUUUCUGAAACCCUAAAAAUUUGGGCCUAUCGGGCCAUUGUAAAAUUUUGGGCUUGUAAACCGAACGAAUUUGAUGGACUAUUUAAUUUUUGUGUUUGAUUUUGCUUUCCUUAUGGGCCGGGCAAAAUUCGGGUCUUACAAUACGCGGCAAACAUAUUAUCAUAUAUGUAAUGACGUAUAAUUUACUAUUUCCACAUAUUGCUCUAAAAAAGGUGAGUUAAUUGGAUAACUAUUGUUCUGGUGAAUGCAAAAAUUUCAAAACAAAAAGUAUAGGAGUUAAGAAUAGUCAAAUUGAAGAAUAUAGAUUAAAUCAAGGCUAAUAGCAUAAUUUAACCAAAUAGUUUUAAGUGCUACCAUUAGGGUCAAGACUGAAAUUUAAAAAUACAAAAAAUACAAGUAUUAAAAUUGACCAAAUUAAAAUAUAAUGACUAAAUCCACACCUUAUAGUAAAA